UUGGGUGUGAUGAUAGCUUCAGUCUUGAGACUACUCUGUGAUGUUUCAAGUAUUCAUACUGUCUGACCCAA